rnacentral:rRNA from 1 species
GGGAGCGGUUCGCCGCCUCCGACGUCGCGAGAAGUCCAUUGAACCUUAUCAUUUAGAGGAAGGAGAAGUCGUAACAAGGUUUCCGUAGGUGAACCUGCGGAAGGAUCAUUG